GAUGAACGCUAGCUACAGGCUUAACACAUGCAAGUCGAGGGACCGGCGCACGGGUGAGUAACACGUAUCCAACCUGCCCUUUACUCGGGGAUAGCCUUUCGAAAGAAAGAUUAAUACCCGAUGUAAAGGAUGGGGAUGCGUUCCAUUAGGUUGUUGGUGAGGUAACGGCUCACCAAGCCUUCGAUGGAUAGGGGUUCUGAGAGGAAGGUCCCCCACAUUGGAAAUGAGACACGGUCUAAACUCCUAGGGGAGGCAGCGGGGAGGAAGAUUGGUGAAUGGGCGUUAGCCUGAACCAGCCAAGUAGCGUGAAGGAUGAAGGCUUAUGGGUCGUAAACUUCGUUUAUAUAAGAAUAUGUAUUAUAUGAAUAAGGAUCGGCUAACUCCGUGCCAGCCGCCGCGGUAAUAC
rnacentral:rRNA from 1 species